UAAUAGCCUAUUUAUAGGGUUGGAAAAUACGAACAACAGUUUAAACACCAAAGAAUUUGGCGGUGUCUUAUUUAAUUAGGGGAACCUGUCCUAUAACUCGAUAAUCCACGAAUGCCUUACCUAAUAUUGAAACUCAGUUAGUGUACUGCCGUCUAAAGCAUACCUUCAUGAGAGUAUGCAAUAAAUUUUAAAUUAAUUGUACGUCAGGUCAAAGUGCAGCUUAUAAUUAGGUAGAGAUGGGUUACAAUCCUUAUAAGGACUACGGAUUAAAUGUAUAAAAUCAUUUAUGAAGGUGGACUUAACAGUAAUUAUAUUUAGUAUAAUGAAUUUUUAUUAAGACAAG
rnacentral:rRNA from 1 species